ensembl:misc_RNA 7SK 7SK RNA
CGACCUUCCCCGAAUAGAGGAGGACCGGUCUUCGGUCAAGGGUAUACGAGUAGCUGCGCUCCCCUGCUAGAACCUCCAAACAAGCUCUCAAGAAUGUGACAGCUACCACUAUUUAAUAUGUUUCAAGUACUUUCUUUGUGCACAGUGGUUUGUCAUU